GCGCGAGUCAUGGGGCUCUACGAAACCUAAAGGCGCAAUGAAAGUGAAGGCCGCUUCCGGUGGCUGAGGCGAGAUCCCGGCCCGCGGGCCGGGCGCAUCGCCGGCCCGUCUCGUCCGCAUCGUCGGUGAGGCGGAGCAAGAGCGUACACGUUGGGACGAGACGGAUGGCGAACUAUGCCUGAGUAGGACGAAGCUAGAGGAAACUCUGGUGGAAGUCCGUAGCGAUUCUGACGUGC
rnacentral:rRNA from 1 species